AUGAACGCUGGCGGCUUGCUUAACACAUGCAAGUCGAACGAUGAAGCCCAGCUUGCUGGGUGGAUUAGUGGCGAACGGGUGAGUAACACGUGAGUAACCUGCCCUUAACUCUGGGAUAAGCCUGGGAAACUGGGUCUAAUACCGGAUAGGAGCGUCCACCGCAUGGUGGGUGUUGGAAAGAUUUAUCGGUUUUGGAUGGACUCGCGGCCUAUCAGCUUGUUGGUGAGGUAAUGGCUCACCAAGGCGACGACGGGUAGCCGGCCUGAGAGGGUGACCGGCCACACUGGGACUGAGACACGGCCCAGACUCCUACGGGAGGCAGCAGUGGGGAAUAUUGCACAAUGGGCGCAAGCCUGAUGCAGCGACGCCGCGUGAGGGAUGACGGCCUUCGGGCUGUAAACCUCUUUCAGUAGGGAAGAAGCGAAAGUGACGGUACCUGCAGAAGAAGCACCGGCUAACUACGUG
rnacentral:rRNA from 1 species